UACGUAGGGUGCAAGCGUUAAUCGGAAUUACUGGGCGUAAAGCGUGCGCAGGCGGUUAUGUAAGACAGAUGUGAAAUGCCCGGGCUUAACCUGGGAACUGCAUUUGUGACUGCAUGGCUAGAGUUUGGCAGAGGGGGGGGUAGAAUUCCACGUGUAGCAGUGAAAUGCGUAGAUAUGUGGAGGAAUACCGAUGGCGAAGGCAGCCCCCUGGGCCAAUACUGACGCUCAUGCACGAAAGCGUGGGGAGCAAACGAGGAUUACGAA
rnacentral:rRNA from 1 species